ensembl:lncRNA
CCAAGCUACUGAGGAGACUCUGGCCAAACCAGCUUCAGAGAAAAUUCCAAAUCUGUCCCUGAGGUUUCUGCUGUGCUGUUUCUGGAGUCAUGUGUUGAGGUGGGCUCUGCAGUGGCACAGCUGUUUUGAAGUCACCCCAGCUCCUGAUCGCCCAAGGCCUGCCUAAUAUUUGGCUGUGAGUCUCUGCAUCUCUUUCCAUCAAUUGUUGGCUGAGGCCUCUCUGCUGAUAAUGCAAGGCUCUUGUCUGCAAGUACAGCCGACGAUCAUGAGAAGUCUCAGGAGUGGACUCCCUCUCAGGGCAUGGAUGUCAAGCUGGUCCAGGCAUGGGCUGGCCACUCCCUCAAUUUCUGUUCCAUCUUCUUCCCAGCCUAUCUCGUAGACAAAACAAAUUAUAGGUCAAAUGCAUUUUGGCUGGGAUGGUUUCCCAAUACCUUCAUUAGAAGUCUUCCUGGCUACAGUAGAUGUUCUAAAACUUUCAGGUGUGCUGUCAAGUCACUAGUAGGAGAUCUCUCCAGUUUCUUCAUGACAGCACUUAGUGUUGUGACUUUUCCUCUUAGCCCUGGGAGAGCCACAACCCUGCUCCACCCCUUCAGGCUCUCCUUUCCUCCCAGGCUCCUGCCUACUGGCAUCCUUAAGAAAGGCCUCCAGCAUGUAAUACCUGUCAGUGGCAGUUUUGCGGGGGGGGCGGGGGGAAGGAGGCUCUGUCACAACCGGCAGCAGAGAGGCAUGCUUACAGCUCCUAUUUCCCAGGAUCCCCUGCACUAAUUUAGGUCAUCCUCAAGUAGGGAGCUCAGAGAUGUUAAGGUACAUAUGAGGGGUCACCUUGCAAAGCCUUGAUUCUGAUCUAGGUAGCCUGGCUCUGGUGAUCUCAUGUCUCUCCCAGACACCAUGACAGCUGCCUAAGUAUGCUAUUUUAGCCAUAUUCUCUAAGAAAUUUAGUCCAGAGGCAUGGAGCCAUUUUUAUAAGCUCGUGCAACACCAAGCGUAUAGAUUAUGUGUCUUAUCCUGAAGUCCAGGGCACUUCUGAUUGGCAGGAUGGAGUUACACCCAAGGACAGCAGAAAAGGGGACUGAUGGGAAACCACUGAUCUUGGCAAUUCACACGCAUUCCGGAUGUUCACACCCAUGAAGGACACUUUAGCACAAAUCAUUAAUGCUAGCUGAUAAUGUUUUGGUGUAAACAGGGCCAUGACCCUACCUUCGGCAAUAUAUUGGCUUGUGCAGACAUCAGCUGUGACCUUUGGUACAGGGCAUCUGAAUUCAAGAUUUACCUUAGUCUCUUGUGGUGAUGGAAAAGCACCUAGGUGGAGGACCAGAGGGAGCUGAAGAUUGUGACAGAUUUUGUCGUUUCCAUACUGACCAUGGAUUCAUGUGUAUCUGUCAUGGGCACCAUGUCCGAUCCUGGUGAUGUCUGACCUGUUCCAUACAGGAGCAAAGUAUGCUGUCAUCUCUUCAGUCCCAUGGACAGUGAGCAGUUGUGCUGUGUUGUGGUGCCCUCAUGGCUGGCUGUCUCCAGGAGCCCCGAGAAUGGUAGAACUUUGACUUUGUCACUUUCUUUGACUCCCAGAAGUCUGGGUAUGUAGUGUGUUCAUUUUCAUUGAGUUCUAGAAACUUUAAUUUCCUUAUUUUGCCUUGACCCAGUGUUCAUUCAGCAGAGAGUUGGUCAGUGUUCAUGAGUUGGUAGGUCUUCCCUUGCUACUGUUGUUAAAAACCAGCUUUAAUCAGUGGUGGUCUGAUAGGAUAGAGGGUGUUACUUCAUUUUUCUUGUAUCUGUUGGGAAUUGCUUUGUGACUUAAUAUUGAAAGACCAUCGGGGUGGGGAAAACCCCCACUCAGGUCUCGAGACGAUGCAACCCCCCAAGAACUCACGAGAAACCAGUCUUGAUGUAAUAAACAAGAGGUGUAUUUGAGGAACCAGAGCACUGGGGACGACAUGUAUCUCACACAGAAGACAGAGUAGUUGAACCCAAGCGCAAUUAGGGGAAGGGAUUUAUAGGGAAAAUUACAUAGGUAGUUGGCAACAGUCACACAAAGCAAUUUCAUUGGUUUGUAGCUUGGGCUCAGUUCAACUCUAGGCCACCCUCUUUCUGGGGCAAGCUGACCCUAAUUCUCGUUUUUCUCGGGACUGUUGAGUCAGGCCUUAUCGAGGCCAGAUGGUUUGUGGUGACUAUAGCCAGGCUGCAUCCCCAAAACAUGUUAUGUUAUUCUUUGCUGUGAGGUGCACUUGUCCUCACAGCAGGGUCAGUGGGGAAUAGUUUAAAAUCUUUAUUCUUUCAAUAUGUAGACACUUUUGCAGAAGAUUCUGUGAGGUACUGUUUGUGUUUAGAUGAACUGUUCUGUAGUUAUCUCUUAGGUCCAUUUGUUUCAUAACAUCUGUUAGCUCCGUUAUUUCUCUGUAUAGUUUAGAACUGUCCAUUUCUGACACUGGAGUGUUGAAGUCUCCCAUUAUUAACAUGUGAGGUUCAUUGUGUGGUUUAAGCUUUAUAGUCAUGUUUCUUUUACAAAUGUGCAUUCCUUCGCAUAGAAGCAUUAGAUGGUAAAAAUCAAAAUGCCACAUUUUCCAGCCCACAGCUCCUCUGACCUGGGAGGUUCCAGAGUCUCCGUGCUGCGGUUACCGCCGCUGUGCAGCUGACUACUGUCUCUCUCAGGGCUACAGACAGGAAACUAAGACUGAGGAGUUUCUCGGGGUCCAGAGAGACCUAGGACACGGGUUAUCUCUAUGAAACUAGCCCAACGUUUGGGACCACGUACCUCACUCACUUAGGAAGGUCUCAAAUACCUCAGGACAGAAUCGGCACACACAUCUUGGAUGCCAGAGGAAAACACCAAAUGCCAUCUGGAACCCUGGUGCACUGAAGCUCCUGGAAAGGGCGGCGCAGAUCUUCCUGGUUGCUGGCGCCGCAGAAAGCCCGUGGGCAGCACCCCGAGAGCAAACUUGAGCCUCGGGACGACAGGUAAGACCAACUUUUCUGCUGCAAGUGACCUGCCUGGUGAACUCAAGACACAGGCCCACAGGAACAGCUGACGACCUGUAGAGAGGAAAAACUACACGCCCGAAAGCAGAACAAUCUGUCCCCUUAACUGGCUGAAAGAAAACAGGAAAACAGGUCUACAGCACUCCUGACACACAGGCUUAUAGGACAGUCUAGCCACUGUCAGAAAUAACAGAACAAAGUAACACUAGAGAUAAUCUGAUGGCGAGAGGCAAGCACAGGAACCCAAGCAACAGAAACCAAGACUACAUGGCAUCAUCGGAGCCCAAUUCUCCCACCAAAACAAACAUGGAAUAUCCAAACACACCAGAAAAGCAAGAUCUAGUUUCAAAAUCAUAUUUGACCAUGAUGCUGGAGGACUUCAAGAAAGACGUGAAGAAAUCCCUUAGAGAACAAGUAGAAGCCUACAGAGAGGAAUCACAAAAAUCCCUGAAAGAAUUCCAGGAAAACACAAUAAAACAGUUGAAGGAAUUAAAAAUGGAAAUAGAAGCAAUCAAGAAAGAACACAUGGAAACAACCCUGGAUAUAGAAAACCAAAAGAAGAGACAAGGAGCUGUAGAUACAAGCUUCACCAACAGAAUACAAGAG